CUGCAGAGGAUCCCGUCCUGAUCACCUUGUGCGCCGGCAUGCUGCUGGCAGCCCUCGCCGCGGUAAUCGCCUGCGUCGAUGGGAGAAAGAACAGGGGCACCAGGAACGCGUAGCUGCUGCUGCUGCAGCAGCAGCAGCAUCAGGUGCAUUUCUGCCUUUCCCAAAAUCAAUCUACUCUUACUCUACAUUACUGUCAAUCAGAAAUUCAGAAUGUCAUCCAAUUUUGUUGUUGAGCUCUGUCUAAUUUGUGCCUUGCCGAUGCAAAACAAAUGAAGCAGGUCAGCAAGUGAACGCUGCUGCAAACUGAGGGAGAUGGAGUCACCGGACACCACCACCUUUGUAGUCAUACGACCACCCCGCCCUGCUGCUGCUCUGCUUCACCGCGUGCGCGCGGAUGAGACCGAUCGUCGUCGAUGCUCUCGUAGCUGGUACUAGCUGGGGUAGUAGUAGCGUGGCCACUGCGUUGGCUGUCGUAUGGGGCGAUAUGAACCCUAUGUAAUUACUGAUCCGUCGGUUUUCACCCGGUUUUCCGUUAAUUAACCGGGCAAUUCUCUUCUUUUUAAUUAAUAGAUGAGGCAAAUCUUUUGCCUCCGUUUAGAAAAAAAUUACCGAUCCACAACUCUAUAUCUUAGAUUAGUUUAAGUAGCCAUGCGUGCGUUCCUUGAGCUACAGGUGACACUUACUGUCGUUGCAAUUAGACUUCCGCAGCGUGAUUGCUGAUCUCUGUAUGUUUUGGA
rnacentral:lncRNA from 1 species